GACGAACGCUGGCGGCGUGCUUAACACAUGCAAGUCGAACGGAAAGGCCCUGCUUUUGUGGGGUGCUCGAGUGGCGAACGGGUGAGUAACACGUGAGUAACCUGCCCUUGACUUUGGGAUAACUUCAGGAAACUGGGGCUAAUACCGGAUAGGAUCUCCUGCUGCAUGGUGGGGGUUGGAAAGUUUCGGCGGUUGGGGAUGGACUCGCGGCUUAUCAGCUUGUUGGUGGGGUAGUGGCUUACCAAGGCUUUGACGGGUAGACGGCCUGAGAGGGUGACCGGCCACAUUGGAACUGAGAUACGGCCCAGACUCCUACGGGAGGCAGCAGUGGAGAAUAUUGCACAAUGGGCGGAAGCCUGAUGCAGAAACGCCGCGUGCGUAAUGACGGCCUUCGGGUUGUAAACCGCUUUCGCCUGUGACGAAGCGUGAGUGACGGUAAUAGGUAAAGAAGCACCGGCUAACUACGUG
rnacentral:rRNA from 1 species